rnacentral:snoRNA from 1 species
AAGACCUCCCUCUGGUCAUGUCUAACAUAAUAGACUGGCAGGCCGGACAGCAGUCUCCCUCUCAGCCUAGGAGGGCUGUCCUAGAGCAGGGCUGGCUCUUAUCGGCACGUGAGGANNNN